rnacentral:tRNA from 4 species
GGGUCGUUAGCUCAGUUGGUAGAGCAGUUGACUUUUAAUCAAUUGGU